UGGAUAGCUAAGCCAUAUGGCUGGCCAAACUGGCUCCUCAAUGGCUAAAUUUGGCCAGUCCAAAUUGGCUUGCCAAUCGUGGCCCCACUCUCUCCCUCCUCUCUCUCUCUCCUCCCGCACUCUCUUCCUCUCCCAUCAGUUUCGAGCACCACUGCCAUCGUCUCCGGGCAUCGUAUCCGGCGGCGCGCUCAUCAACGAUGUGCUCACCGACGACGUGCUCCACUGGCUACGGGUCUAGAGCUCCGAUCGGUGGCGCCUGCGCGCGCGCCCCGACCCGGCCAUGCUACGCUGCCUCGCCGCGCGCUUCCCCGGGAUCCUCGAGCUGGACCUCUCCCAGUCGCCGUCCCUCUUGUUCUACUCCGGCGUCAUCGACGACAACCUUUGACGUCGUCGCCGGGGGCUUCCGCAAUCUGCGCAUCCGCGCUCUGCAGAUUUGCAAAGUUUUGUGAAUUCAGAACGUAGCUGAUGCAUAGCUGCAUACGGCGACGAGGGAAGAGCAGGAUGGGGAAGAAGGGGCCGGACCCCUCUUCGGCGCCGGCCGCCUCGCCUCCAUCGUCGCCGUCGCCGUCGACGUCCUCCUCUUCCGACGCCAUGCUCGCUGUAGCCAUCUACGUUGGGGGAAAAGAGGAAGAGGAUUGGAGGAGGGAGAAAGAGGAAGGAGGGACGAGGGAGUUGAUGCUGACGCGUGGGUCCCAGUGUCAUAGAUUCAGAAUGGAAGGCGUAGAUGGAGAGGCUGUUGGAGUGAUAAAUGAGUUUGGCUUACAAUUCAAUUAGAAAGCUGGUUAUAUACGUGUUUUGGAGAGUCCGAUUUAAAAAGACUGUUAGAGAUGCUCUUAGCAACCAAAGGUGCGAUAUGGGGCGAGCCAGAUCAGGUCCUGAUGGAAGACGGCAUCGACACAUCUGGUACCGGCUGUGUUCGGAUAUAGGAUGCUGGGAACUAAACUCCCUGCAUUGAAAACGGAGUGAUUCAUUACCGCGUGAUUAAUUAAGUAUUUACUAUUUUUUAAAAAAAAUAGAUCAAUAUAAUUUUUUUAAACAAAUUUCGUAUAGAAACAUUUUGCAAAAAAUACACCGUUUAAUAGUUUAAAAAGCGUGCGCGCGGAAAACGAGGGAGAGGGGUUGGGAAAAUGGGAUUGCAAACACAGCUAUAGUCUUCGUGUACUGUCCAUGUCCGUGACGAUCUGUUGCUGGGAGUUGCUUCCGUUUUACUCUUGUCUUGCGUUCGGUGGAGUCCUGAUGUAGGUAAUGACUGGGUUUUUCGUAGGGAAUUUCGGGGAUUUACGGAUUUGUUUGUUUGUUUCUGUUUUUUUCUUUUUUUUUUGUUUUGUUUUGGAACUUCGGAAGAGUCCAAGGAUAUGAAAAAUCCGUCCGUGCAGAGCGGAAUUGAGGAAAGGAGGGAAGUUAUCGAGAAUCCUUCCCGUCGGCGUCCGAAGCCCGAGGAAAACAGUUUUCCUAUAAAUCUGUCGUCAAAUUUUUUACUUAAAAUUUGACGUUUUUUCAACCUACCGAUUAGCAUCUGAUUAGGGCAAGGCACUGAUAACUAAGUGAGGGUAUUGUACGCAUCUUUAAUUUUUUAGCUUUGCCACUGUAUAGAACGAAAGUGAUUGAACGAUAAUACUACUUUAAUACGGGUGAGAGAUCUCCCGUGAUGACUAUUUCGUAUGACUAGCGGUGUUUUAAAAGUUACAUUGAAGUUACAUGUAAGUUACACUAUAAUUAUACUGUAAUUAUAUGUAAGU